AUGAACGCUAGCGACAGGCUUAACACAUGCAAGUCGAGGGGCAGCACAGGUAGCAAUACCGGGUGGCGACCGGCGCACGGGUGAGUAACGCGUAUGCAACUUGCCUAUCAGAGGGGGAUAACCCGGCGAAAGUCGGACUAAUACCGCAUGAAGCAGGGGCCCCGCAUGGGGAUAUUUGCUAAAGAUUCAUCGCUGAUAGAUAGGCAUGCGUUCCAUUAGGCAGUUGGCGGGGUAACGGCCCACCAAACCGACGAUGGAUAGGGGUUCUGAGAGGAAGGUCCCCCACAUUGGUACUGAGACACGGACCAAACUCCUACGGGAGGCAGCAGUGAGGAAUAUUGGUCAAUGGGCGUAAGCCUGAACCAGCCAAGUCGCGUGAGGGAUGAAGGUUCUAUGGAUCGUAAACCUCUUUUAUAAGGGAAUAAAGUGUGGGACGUGUCCCGUUUUGUAUGUACCUUAUGAAUAAGGAUCGGCUAACUCCGUGCCAGCAGCCGCGGUAAUACGGAGGAUCCGAGCGUUAUCCGGAUUUAUUGGGUUUAAAGGGUGCGUAGGCGGCCUUUUAAGUCAGCGGUGAAAGUCUGUGGCUCAACCAUAGAAUUGCCGUUGAAACUGGGGGGCUUGAGUAUGUUUGAGGCAGGCGGAAUGCGUGGUGUAGCGGUGAAAUGCAUAGAUAUCACGCAGAACCCCGAUUGCGAAGGCAGCCUGCCAAGCCAUUACUGACGCUGAUGCACGAAAGCGUGGGGAUCAAACAGGAUUAGAUACCCUGGUAGUCCACGCAGUAAACGAUGAUCACUAGCUGUUUGCGAUACACUGUAAGCGGCACAGCGAAAGCGUUAAGUGAUCCACCUGGGGAGUACGCCGGCAACGGUGAAACUCAAAGGAAUUGACGGGGGCCCGCACAAGCGGAGGAACAUGUGGUUUAAUUCGAUGAUACGCGAGGAACCUUACCCGGGUUUGAACGCAUUCGGACCGAGGUGGAAACACCUUUUCUAGCAAUAGCCGUUUGCGAGGUGCUGCAUGGUUGUCGUCAGCUCGUGCCGUGAGGUGUCGGCUUAAGUGCCAUAACGAGCGCAACCCUUGCCACUAGUUACUAACAGGUGAUGCUGAGGACUCUGGUGGGACUGCCAGCGUAAGCUGCGAGGAAGGCGGGGAUGACGUCAAAUCAGCACGGCCCUUACAUCCGGGGCGACACACGUGUUACAAUGGCGUGGACAAAGGGAGGCCACCUGGCGACAGGGAGCGAAUCCCCAAACCACGUCUCAGUUCGGAUCGGAGUCUGCAACCCGACUCCGUGAAGCUGGAUUCGCUAGUAAUCGCGCAUCAGCCAUGGCGCGGUGAAUACGUUCCCGGGCCUUGUACACACCGCCCGUCAAGCCAUGGGAGCCGGGGGUACCUGAAGUCCGUAACCGAAAGGAUCGGCCUAGGGUAAAACUGGUGACUGGGGCU
rnacentral:rRNA from 1 species